rnacentral:lncRNA from 8 species
UCAGAAUGUUCCUGACUUGGAUUUGUUUUCCUCCCCUCACUGCCAGUACUCACUGUGACUGUCUGACAGGCUGCCUUCUCUUCACACCAGGAAUAUGUAUCUAAGGUCAUUACUGUCGCUCCUCAGCCUCAAAGGAAACCAUGUUGCUUAGCGUAGAUUGGCAUAGGUUUUUUUGGGUUGCUGCAGGUUAGGUGAGUUGGUAUAGUGAGCCUGUGUUGCUGUGUGUUGUAGUUUUUGAGGAAGCCCUUCUCUCCAGACACCACUGUAGCGGUAAGCAGAAGGAUUUAUUGACAUUUAGAGAUGCCAAAUGAGCUCCCAGAAGAUCUGCCAGGAGACACAAUACUUGGGUGUAAGGUUUGACUGUUCAUAGAUUGCGUAAGUAGAUUUGAUUAGUUGAUUGAGACAUUGAUUGCUCUCUCCCUCUCUCUUUCUCUCUCUCUACAGGUGAUCUUGGACACUGAGUGAGGCUAGGCAAUGUUGGGCUGAUGCUGGUCAGGGUGCCGGCCCUGUGGGCAUGAUGAGGCGUGGGACUAUCCUGCAGAGCCAGCACUGUGGGGGGAACGGGACAGGGGCAGGGGGAGGGGGAGCAGACCGGGACCACUCUCUGAGAGGCAGCCCCCAGGCCCCCCACCGCCACCCUACGUAUGAUGCACAGAAGCAUUCCGAACGCCUGCGCUCCUCUCCACCACGGACAACACCACACGAAGUAGCCCCUCCCCUGGGUACAACCCUGGAUACGCAACGUCAGGCGACGUGGUGCUGUCGUCAGGAUACCAGUCCACGGAGGAGACAGAAAAGAUGAACCAGCAUGGUCUAGAGCAGUUUGGAACAGAGAGACGUGUGUUUGCGUGUGUGUGCUUUUCUGUGAUUAUGCACAUGCAUAUUUCCUUUAGCGUGAAAUAGAUUGUAGCUAUGUGUGUGUAUACUGGCUCUGGAUGUGUGUGUUCCUACUGAGAAGAGCUCUGUGCGUGGAGUAGAGUAGAGCACAUCGUCAGUCGCUCCGUCAGUCAGGAUGGUUCAGAGGUGUAGUCUACGCAGACAGUACUCCAAGGUAAGUCUGCUAAAAGACCCCCACUUAACUGUAAAGUGACCCACUGAGCUGAACAUAAUACAUUAAAUUGACUUCAUUGCGGGGACCCCCAUAUUAGUCUGGUCAUUUGGGACCUGUGACAUAUGUUUAGUGUGGCUAUUUCAAGUGUAUACAACUGUAGUUGCUGAAUGUCUCUCUCUUUUGCCCUCCUAGCUCCAUCUCUCUUGGUUAAUCUGUCAAAAAUAAUCUGUCUCAUCACUGUGUUGAUUCUGUCCCUGUCUAUCUCUCUCUUGCUCUCUCUCAAGUUCAAUAUGCUUUAAUGGUAUGAAUGACAAGGUCAAUGUUGACAAAGCAAAGUGAUACAAAUAAAAAUGAUGAAAGCAACAAUGACAGCAAUAAAAAUAAUAUAAUAUAAUAUGAAAUAAAAAAAUAUACACUGAGUGUACAAAACAUUAAGAACUUGUACAUUCAGUGUACACUGUAUAUAUACAGUAUAUAACAAAUAAAUAUCCAAUACAGAAAUGUAAUAAUGGCCAAUGUUCAGAAUCAAAAAAAUCAUUCAAAAUGGUGGUACUUAUAUUGUCUAUUACUUAUAAUAUUACUUAUAAUACAAUGGUACAAUACUACAUUUUUAUGUUUCCUCCCUUUGCUUGGGGCAAGCUGUGACAUACUUUGCUGCCAACUCUAUAACAUCAGACCUCUCCCACAAAAGUAUA